rnacentral:rRNA from 1 species
UCAAGCUAUGAAGGGCGUAUGGGGGAUGUCUUGGCAUCAGAAGGCGAUGAAGGGCGUGGAAGUCUGCGAAAAGCUCGGGGGAGUUGACAAACAAAUGAUGAUCCCGAGAUUCCUGAAUUGACGCAUUGUGAAUAAAUAACUUUGCGUGGCUAACGUGGGGAACUGAAACAUCUAAGUACCCACAGGAAUAGAAAGAAAAAUCGAUUACGUCAGUAGCGGCGAGCGAACGCGUAAUAGCCCAAACCGCGGGGGUUUCCCCUGCGGGGUUGUAGGGCUCUUCACAUGGGAGUCAUAAACUUGCUCAUUAAUAGAAUGGUCUGGAAAGGCCAACCACAGAGGGUGACAGUCCCGUACAUGAAAGUGAGCAAACUCCCGAGGAGUACCUGAGUAGGUCGGGCCACGUGGAAUCCCGACUGAAUCUACGAGGACCAUCUCGUAAGGCUAAAUACUCUCUGAUGACCGAUAGCAAACUCAGUAUGGUGACUGAAAGAUGAGAAGAACCCCUGUUAGGGGAGGAAUGUGAACCUGAAACCAUACGCCUACAAGCGGUCGGAGCACUAUGCCCUUCGGGGAAUGUGUGACGGCGUGCCUUUUGCAUAAUGAUCCGGCGAGUUACCGUGUGCGGCUCGGUUAAGGACUUACGGUCCGAAGCCUCAGGGAAACCGAGUCUGAAUAGGGCGACAAUUGGUCGUACGUGGUAGACGCGAAACCAGGUGAACUACCCAUGAGCAGGUUGAAGCGCGGGUUAAACUGCGUGGAGGACCGAACCCACUUAGGUUGAAAACUGAGGGGAUGACUUGUGGGGAGGAGUGAAAGUCUAAUCAAACCUGGAGAUAGCUCGUUCUCUCCGAAAUAGCUUUAGGGCUAGCCUUGAGCAACUAUGUAGCGGGGGUAGAGAGACUGAUUUGGUUUGGGGCCCUUCCCGGGGUACCCUGCUGAGCCAAACUCCGAAUACCGUUGCAACUAUCUCAGGAGUCAGUCCGCGGGGGAUAAGCUUCGCGGUCGAGAGGGAAACAACCCAGACUAUCUGCUAAGGUCCCGAAGUCAUACUCAGUCACUAAGGAAGUUGAAUUGCUGAGACAACCAGGAUGUUGGCUUAGAAGCAGCCACCAUUUAAAAAGUGCGUAACAGCUUACUGGUCGAGCAAUUCUGCGCCGAUAAUGAACGGGAGUAAGUAUGACACCGAAGCAGUAGAUUCAGUGAUCCUUCGGGUGAUCUGAGUGGUAGGAGAGCGCUGUACAUCAGAUACAAGGCGUACCGUAAGGAGCGCUGUCGGGGUGUACAGGUGAUUAUGCCGGAAUGAGUAACGAUAAGGCAGGUGAGAAUCCUGCCCGCCGAAAGCCUAAGGUUUCCUGGGGAAGGUAAUUCCGCCCAGGGUUAGCCGGUACCUAAGUCGAGGCCGAAAGGCGUAGACGAUGGAUAGCAGGUCAACAUUCCUGCGCUACUAAUGUGGACCGAUGGAGGGACGGCGUUUGAAUGGUGAGGGGACGACUAGAAAUGUCCCUCGACGGGUGAGGCCUAGAGCAUAGUUAAAUGCGUGCUCGUUCCGGCCGAUCCCGGACAACCUCAUUUAUGUUGGGUAUGUCAUCUGAAGAACGUCCAAGAAAAGCUUCUAAGGGUUGAAGCAUUGGUAACCGUACUAAAACUGACACAGGUAGGCGAGACGAGUAGUCUAAGGCGCUCGGGAGAACACUGGUUAAGGAACUCUGCAAAAUGAUCCCGUAAGUUCGCGAUAAGGGAUGCCCCUGGUGGUUUACGCUGCUGGGGGCCACAGUAAAUCGAUUUCUCCGACUGUUUAUCAAAAACACAGGUCUCUGCUAACACGUAAGUGGAUGUAUAGAGACUGACGCCUGCCCGGUGCUGGUAGGUUAAGGUAAGAGGUUAGUUAUUUAUAACGAAGCUUUUGACCGAAGCCCCAGUAAACGGCGGCCGUAACUAUGACGGUCCUAAGGUAGCGAAGUUCCUUGUCGGGUAAGUUCCGACCUGCAUGAAAGGCGUAACGAGAGAAAUACUGUCUCAACCAGUGACCCGGUGAAAUUGUAGUCGUGGUGAAGAUGCCACGUUCCCGCAGCUAGACGGAAAGACCCCGUGAACCUUUACUGUAGGCUGAUAUUGGGCUGUGCUAUGUACUGUGUAGGAUAGGUGGGAGGCUUUGAACUCCGGUCGCCAGAUCGGAGGGAGCCAUUGGUGAAAUACCACCCUGUUCAUGGUUUAGUUCUAACUUUGAUUCCCGUGAAACCGGGCAAAGGACAGUGUCAGUUGGGCAGUUUGACUGGGGCGGUCUCCUCCUAAAGAGUAACGGAGGAGUCCAAUAGGCGCACUCAGCCUGGUUGGCAAUCAGGCAUCGAGCAUAAAGGUAGAAGUGCGCUAGACUGCAAGACUUAUCAGUCGAGCAGGUGUGAAAGCAGGGCUUAGUGAUCCGGUGGUUCCGUAUGGAAGGGCCAUCGCUCAACAGAUAAAAGGUACUCCGGGGAUAACAGGCUUAUCGCUCCCGAGCGUCCAUAGCGGCGGAGCGGUUUGGCACCUCGAUGUCGGCUCAUCACAUCCUGGGGGUGGAGAAGCUCCCAAGGGUUUGGCUGUUCGCCAAUGAAAGUGGUACGUGAGCUGGGUUCAGACCGUCGUGAGACAGGUCGGUCCCUAUCUACUGUGGGCGCACGAAACUUGAAGAGGUUCUUCUUUAGUACGAGAGGAUUUAGAAGGACGACCCUCUGGUGUUCCUGUUGUCGCGCUAGCGGCACGGCAGGGUAGCUAAGGUCGGAACGGAUAAACGCUGAAAGCAUAUAAGCGUGAAGCCCGCUCUGAGAUUAGGUUUCGUAACCCAAUGGGUGAGAGUCCCCUGGAAGACGACCAGGUUGAUAGGCCGGAUGUGUAAGUACAGCAAUGUAUUCAGCUAACCGGUACUAAUGGACGAACGCUUGA